UACGUAGGUGACAAGCGUUGUCCGGAUUUACUGGGCGUAAAGAGCGCGCAGGCGGUCGGUCAAGUCGAGUGUGAAAGCCCCCGGCUCAACUGGGGAGGGUCAUUCGAUACUGAUCGACUCGAAGGCAGGAGAGGGUAGUGGAAUUCCCGGUGUAGUGGUGAAAUGCGUAGAUAUCGGGAGGAACACCAGUGGCGAAGGCGACUACCUGGCCUGUUCUUGACGCUGAGGCACGAAAGCGUGGGGAGCAAACAGG
rnacentral:rRNA from 1 species